CAACGCGAGUAGCAAUACUUGGCGGCGACCGGCGCAAGGGUGCGUAACGCGUGAGCAACAUGCCCGUAUCAGGGGGAUAAUCCAGGGAAACUUGGUCUAAUACCCCAUAGUAAUUUUGUAAGGCAUCUUAUAAGAUUUAAAGCUUUGGUGGAUACGGAUUGGCUCGCGUGACAUUAGCGUGGAUGGUAAGGUAACGGCUUACCAUGGCUAUGAUGUCUAGGGGUUCUGAGAGGAAGGUCCCCACACUGGAACUGAGACACGGUCCAGACUCCUACGGGAGGCAGCAGUGAGGAAUAUUGGACAAUGGAUGGGAAAUCUGAUCCAGCCAUGCCGCGGUUAGAAGGAAGAAGGUCCUAUGGAUUGUAAACUUCUUUUGUAUGGGAGCAAUAAGGCCUACGUGUAGGUUGAUGAGAGUACCAUACGAAUAAGCACCGGCUAACUCCGUGCCAGCAGCCGC
rnacentral:rRNA from 1 species